AGAGGGUUUACAGUGUGGAGUUUAAGACGCUGUGCAACUAAAGCAGAAGGCUGAGUGUGAUUGCGAGAUUUCAGAAAAUCACUCCGCAGACGGACUGGAAUUAUCACAGAGGGGACUCCUCCAUCUCUCUUUUGCACUCACUUACUUUCAAGCAUGACCAGUUAAAGAGCAGUAGCCCCACAGAGCUGAGAGCGAGCCACUGAAAGCCUUAAGAAUGGCUGCUGGACUGACGCUGACACUCGCUCGUCUACCGUCCCUCUGAAAUUGGAGAAGAGAGAGAGGAAGUUGUGAGACAGCGGUGGCUGACUCGUUUGGCAUUUCGCAAAAGCCGCCUGAACUCUUACAGACCGAAGUGAUGGGGACAGUGAGCGAACUGUGCGUGUCCAGCUUCCAGGCUUUCCUGUGUCCGACAGUGUUGAUCACUGCUCCAGUGCCAGACGACCUCACACCUGAGGAGCAGCAAGAGCUGGAGAAUAUCCGCCGGCGCAAGCAGGAGCUGCUGGAGGACAUUCAGAGAUUGAAGGAUGAGAUAGCCGAGGUAACCAGCGAGAUAGAGAACCUGGGUUCCACCGAAGAGAGGAAAAAUAUGCAGAGGAAUAAGCAAGUAGCAAUGGGCCGAAAGAAGUUCAACAUGGACCCCAAGAAGGGAAUUCAGUUCCUGAUUGAAAAUGACCUUCUGAAAAACACCAGCGACGACAUCGCUCAGUUCCUGUACAAGGGCGAGGGCCUAAACAAGACAGCCAUAGGGGACUACCUCGGAGAAAGGGAUGAGUUCAACAUCCAGGUGUUGCAUGCUUUUGUGGAGCUGCACGAGUUCACAGAUCUGAACCUGGUACAAGCUCUCAGGCAAUUUCUCUGGAGUUUCAGACUGCCUGGUGAAGCACAGAAAAUCGAUAGGAUGAUGGAGGCCUUUGCCCAACGCUACUGCCAAUGUAACCCAGGAGUCUUCCAGUCCACUGACACGUGUUAUAUUCUCUCCUUUGCCAUUAUCAUGCUGAACACCAGCCUUCACAACCCCAAUGUGAAGGACAAGCCCACUGUGGAGCGCUUCAUUUCCAUGAACAGAGGCAUCAACGAUGGAGGAGACCUACCAGAGGAGCUUCUCCGAAACCUGUAUGAGAGCAUCAAGAAUGAGCCAUUCAAAAUUCCUGAGGAUGACGGCAACGACCUCACACACACGUUCUUCAACCCGGACCGUGAGGGCUGGCUGCUCAAACUGGGAGGUAUGUACACCUGCUCUUCCCCCCAAAACAGCAAACUAGUCCAUCUCUUCGCUGUCAGGGGGACGUGUCAAAACCUGGAAGAGACGAUGGUUUAUUCUCACAGACAACUGCCUAUACUACUUCGAGUACACUACUGACAAAGAACCCAGAGGAAUCAUUCCUUUGGAAAACUUGAGCAUUCGUGAAGUGGAGGACAAGAAGCCGAACUGCUUCGAGCUGUUUAUACCAGACAAUAAGGACCAGGUGAUCAAGGCGUGUAAGACAGAGGCAGAUGGGCGGGUGGUGGAGGGGAACCACACAUUCUACCGCAUCUCUGCACCCACCACAGAAGAAAAGGAUGAGUGGAUUAACAGCAUCAAGGCCGCAAUCAGCAGGGAUCCCUUCUACGAGAUGCUGGCUGCCAGGAAGAAGAAAGUUUCCUCUAUGAAGAGGCAUUAGAUUUGCUCAGGGCGCUGGCGCUGCACUCUGGAGAUUCAGGGCUGUGUGAAAGUGCUCCCUCUAGUGGAGAGGACUGAGAUUUGCAGAGGGAGGAUGAGGCUGGUCUUUCCCCCCAAAAACCCCACAAAGUUUUGCUUUUUAUUCUGGAACAGAAGGACUUUUAAGGACAAGGAUGGAAACUGCAGUGAAAAAAAGGCUGGAUUUGGCUGCUGUCUCCAGCAGGAAUCGCACCUUUUAACCCUCUCUGCUUUCUUCUGUUUCAAUGUCCUCUCCCUCAGCUCAAAGUGUGUAUGUGUGCGUGUGCAUGUAUGUGUGUGUUGUGGAGGCGUCCGAGAGCAUUUUGCUCUCUGCUCUUCUCUUGAAAUCCCCAAAGAGUCUAUUCUAUCCUCAUGCUAAACCAAAUCACAAGCGCCCUCUCUCUUUCUGUCUCUCGGCUGUCUUAAACAUGCACAUACACGCUUUAUCUUUUAAUCAGCAGGUCUGACAGAAUGUGGGUUACCAAAAAAAAAGGCUUCUCCUGAAUUUCAAAAAGGAAAGACUUUUUCUUGUGUGCUUUGAUAUGUACAGGCAAUAAGUGUAUUUUUACAUUUCUAUAUUCUCUGUAUAUUCUUCCCUUGUUUUUCUUCUCUAGAUAAUUUGAUAAAGGCUAUUGUAAACUGCUGCAUUGUUUUCAUAAGAAAAAUGAAAAGGACAAGUUUAGUGCCAGAAUGUAGAAUACAGGGCAGGUUCGCUCGGAUGCCCAGUGCCUCUCUGGGUAGGGUUGCUGAUCCGGGAUCAGGUUUUACCAUGUCUGGGCUGGUCCAGGUUCUUUUGUGGCAAAAGGCCUGUUCCAGAAACAGCAGUCCUACACUGAGAUGCUUCAUGGACGCUGCCUGUGCAGUUAAUGAAUGACGUGAAUAUUGCAAGGCUGUUCAUGUUCCUGGCUACUUAGAAGUGCAAGCAAGACCUACUCUGGGAAAUUCCAAGCUCUAUUACCAUCUAACACUUAACUGCUCAGGUUGGAGCGGUCUCAUCUUCCUGCCAGUGUUGAUGAUUCUCCUCUUGAAAGCCUGUAUUUAUCACUGUUUGAAGCUACAAAGCUGUAGUUUCACUGCCAGAGCUUUUUCAUGUGGGCACACAUGGAAUAAGCUGGUGGACGUGAGCUUGGAAAAUGGAUAUUUGUGAUCAAACAAGGAUAAUCCUGACAGCUUGAGGUGAAGAAACUUUCGGACGGAAUAGUGGUCAAAGCAUUUAAACAAUCAUACAGCCAGUGAUUUCCCAGAGUUCAUAUGCAAAAGUUUGUCUCUGGUUAUUUGACAUGUUCUGUUGAAAAUAAGUUAACACAUCUUCUACACUCUUCUGCACAUUAACGCACAAUUACUGUUUAUUUACUGAAUGGAACACAUUUGGAGAAAAAACAUAAAAUGUAGCCUGUGCAAAUUUCAUGGUGCAUUUUAUAUUUAGUGUUUUGUUUUUUUCCAAUAUGUAAAACCCAGUAAACAAAUAGGAGUUGUGCACUAAAAAAAGCUGAAAAAUGCCAUGUUUCGUAGCUGUAGAGGAUGCCUUAACUUGUUUUCACUUAGAAAACCAAUAAAACAUUAAG